rnacentral:misc_RNA from 1 species
UGAGAAACCACGGUGCUGGGUAACUU